GUUCCUUUAAAGAGAGAAGAAAAGAAGAAAUGAUUUUUACUGCCCCAGACUUAAUAGACUGUUACCAUCUUUUAACUCAAAACCUUCAUCCUAUGAAUGGAAAACAGUGCUUCUGAGAUCCUGUGGAAUAUAGUAGUAUCAGGAAUAAAAUCAAAAUGACCAUUCAUCCUUUAUCUUAUCCUCAGAUUAUAUAGAAGCUGAAAGUUCUUAUAGUCGAGCCCUCGAAAUGUGCCCAUCCUGCUUCCAAAAGGAGAGGUCGAUUCUAUUUUCAAAUAGAGCUGCAGCAAGGAUGAAACAGGACAAGAAAGAAAUGGCCAUCAAUGACUGCAGCAAAGCAAUUCAAUUAAACCCCAGCUAUAUCAGGGCAAUAUUGAGGAGAGCAGAGUUGUAUGAGAAGACGGACAAGCUAGAUGAAGCCCUGGAAGACUAUAAAUCUAUAUUAGAAAAAGAUCCAUCAAUACAUCAAGCAAGAGAAGCUUGUAUGAGAUUACCUAAGCAAAUUGAAGAACGUAAUGAAAGACUAAAAGAAGAGAUGUUAGGUAAAUUAAAAGAUCUUGGGAACUUGGUUCUCCGACCUUUUGGGCUCUCCACGGAAAAUUUCCAGAUCAAACAGGAUUCCUCUACCGGCUCGUACUCCAUCAAUUUCGUUCAAAAUCCAAAUAAUAACAGAUAACAAAGAUAACAAAAGCUUUACAAGCUGACUUGGAAUUGUGUGCUGCUUGCUGUUAGCUAGGGGAAAGGCCCUGCCAAUGUUUAACUUUUAAAAGCAUCUUAUCUAAAAGAAAGGCUAUCCAGUAGAGCCCAGUGCUCCCUUGUCCCUCUUUUAUGAUCAGGGUGAAAUGUACUUCCUGAUGUAAUGAACCUAAUUUGAUUUCCAUUUUAAGGUGGUGUCUGUGUAGCUGGUGUCCCCGGUUCUGGCUGUCCUAUGUCCAGGAAGAAGCCCAUUUGUCGAGGCUGACCUUCCUGAUCAUACACACACACAGCCCAGCAAAAGCCUCUCCUGAACCAAACAAACCUGUUGGUUGGGAGACUGCCCAGACAUGAUUGAUGACGGGUUCCCGCCUGCCUGUCCCCUCCCUGAUCACACAGCUAACGAGGCUGCCUCCAGCAUUUCCUGAUU
rnacentral:sRNA from 1 species